AAUGUUAUAAUUACAAAUAUAUAUAUAUAUAAAUUGUCCAAUUAAUCGGUAUCUGCUUUUUUUUGGUCCUCCAACAUUCGGUAUUGGCGUUGAAAAAUCAUAAUUGGUCAAUGUCUACUUCAAAGCCUCUCAAUGGCCAAUACAAUCCAUCAGCAGUGCAGGGUUUAUAUACAUAAUGAAUUGCCUCCCACAUGAACAGUGCUGUUGAUAGGUCUGGGAUCUUCUAUACUGUGACUUGUACAGUGUACACAGAUUCAUGUAAUUCAAACCAGGCAUGUGUGUGUGUUGACAUGCAAAUUACUUGUUAUGAGUGCAGAAUAAUGUGAAAAUAUUGAUAAAAGUAGCAUGUGAAUUCUUCAUAUUAUAUUUUGGAGAAAUUAUAUUUCAUUAAUAGUACACUGAAUUGCUGUUUUACUUCAAAUUAAAGCUGCAAUUUGUAACUUUUUGGUAUUCUCUACACUAUACUUGCUUGUUGUCACAUAUACUGAAACUAUUUGAUUUUUCCGAACCAGAAAACGGCGGAGAGAUUUCUGCAUAGUGCAUUUAAAAAAUGUUAUAACCUACAUUAACAUUUCUCAGUAGGCAAGGUGACAUAAUGUAACAAGCCGUUCUAUCCCCACCAUAGAGCACUGACACAAUAGGACUAAUGUAAUCACUGUUAGUGAUUCACUGAUAAAAUAAGAGUCAUGUUACCACUGAAUCAACCCAUGUUAUCAAACAUACUAGCACUGCCAGUCAAUGUACAAUAGGGUAGGGUACAUAAGAAUACUGAUGUACCAGUUCAAAUACCUGACUGUUAUUUGAUAAUUAGCCAGAAAAAAAUAGGCUCAUACCCAACGGUGCUUACAUAAAACAAGUGUCAGACCAGUUCCUUAUCACAAUGACUAAUAUGACUAAUAUGAAAAGAAUGCUACCAAACAAGCUGCCUGUAGUAGCAGAGCAGGUCAGAAGCUGCUACUUAUUGUGAAUGGAUAAAGCAAGCUGCCUGUAGUAGCAGAGCAGGUCAGAAGCUGCUACUUAUUGUGAAUGGAUAAAGCAAGCUGCCUGUAGUAGCAGAGCAGGUCAGAAGCUGCUACUUAUUGUGAAUGGAUAAAGCAAGCUGCCUGUAGUAGCAGAGCAGGUCAGAAGCUGCUACUUAUUGUGAAUGGAUAAAACAAGCUGCCUGUAGUAGCAGAGCAGGUCAGAAGCUGCUACUUAUUGUGAAUGGAUAAAGCAAGCUGCCUGUAGUAGCAGAGCAGGUCAGAAGCUGCUACUUAUUGUGAAUGGAUAAAACAAGCUGCCUGUAGUAGCAGAGCAGGUCAGAAGCUGCUACUUAUUGUGAAUGGAUAAAGCAAGCUGCCUGUAGUAGCAGAGCAGGUCAGAAGCUGCUACUUAUUGUGAAUGGAUAAAGCAAGCUGCCUGUAGUAGCAGAGCAGGUCAGAAGCUGCUACUUAUUGUGAAUGGAUAAAGCAAGCUGCCUGUAGUAGCAGAGCAGGUCAGAAGCUGCUACUUAUUGUGAAUGGAUAAAGCAAGCUUGCCCACACUGUUUACAUCAUAGAGAACAUCACAUCCAACAUGAUCCAUAAUGUACGUAAAAACAUAUAAUAACCUAGAAAUAACACAACUACCAUUUUAAGGGAAAUGCUACUGAAGAAGUUACAUAAAUUACAAACAGACAUACACAUGGCUGUAAACAAUAAUACUCCAGUAUAGUUGA